rnacentral:rRNA from 1 species
AUUGAACGCUGGCGGCAGGCCUAACACAUGCAAGUCGAACGGUAACAGGAAGAAGCUUGCUUCUUUGCUGACGAGUGGCGGACGGGUGAGUAAUGUCUGGGAAACUGCCUGAUGGAGGGGGAUAACUACUGGAAACGGUAGCUAAUACCGCAUAACGUCGCAAGACCAAAAAGGGGGACCUUCGGGCCUCUUGCCAUCGGAUGUGCCCAGAUGGGAUUAGCUAGUAGGUGGGGUAACGGCUCACCUAGGCGACGAUCCCUAGCUGGUCUGAGAGGAUGACCAGCCACACUGGAACUGAGACACGGUCCAGACUCCUACGGGAGGCAGCAGUGGGGAAUAUUGCACAAUGGGCGCAAGCCUGAUGCAGCCAUGCCGCGUGUAUGAAGAAGGCCUUCGGGUUGUAAAGUACUUUCAGAGGGGAGGAAGGGAGUAAAGUUAAUACCUUUGCUCAUUGACGUUACCCGAAGAAGAAGCACCGGCUAACUCCGUG